UCCCUAGUGGUUCAAGUGGUUAAGAAUCUGCCUGCAAAGCAGAAGACCCAGGUUCAAUCCCUGGCUUGGGAA